GACGAACGCUGGCGGCGUGCCUAAUACAUGCAAGUUGAGCGCUGAAGGUUGGUACUUGUACCCACUGGAUGAGCAGCGAACGGGUGAGUAACGCGUGGGGAAUCUGCCUUUGAGCGGGGGACAACAUUUGGAAACGAAUGCUAAUACCGCAUAAAACCUUUAAACACAAGUUUUAAGUUUGAAAGAUGCAAUUGCAUCACUCAAAGAUGGUCCCGCGUUGUAUUAGCUAGUUGGUGAGGUAAAGGCUCACCAAGGCGAAGAUACAUAGCCGACCUGAGAGGGUUGUCGGCCAAAUUUGGACUGGGACCCGGCCCAAACUCCUACGGGAGGCAGCAGUAGGGGAUCUUCGGCAAUGGACGGAAGUCUGACCGAGCAACGCCGCGGGAGUGGAGAAGGUUUUCGGAUCGUAAAACUCUGUUGGUAGAGAAGAACGUUGGUGAGAGUGGAAAGCUCAUCAAGUGACGGUAACUACCCAGAAAGGGACGGCUAACUACGUG
rnacentral:rRNA from 1 species